rnacentral:rRNA from 1 species
CCGGAUUUAUUGGGCGUAAAGAGCUCGUAGGCGGUUCAACAAGUCGGUCGUAAAAGUUUAGGGGCUNAACCCUAAAAUGUCGAUCGAUUACUGGUGUGACUAGGAUACGGUAGAGGUGAAUGGAAUUCCGAGUGUAGCGGUGAAAUGCGUAGAUAUUCGGAGGAACACCAAUUGCGAAGGCAGUUCACUGGACCGUGAUCGACGCUGAGGAGCGAAAGCUAGGGGAGCAAACAGGAUUAGAUACCCUGGUAGUCCUAGCUGUAAACGAUGGAUACUAGAUGUAGGAACUGGAUUGACGGUUUCUGUAUCGUAGCUAACGCGUUAAGUAUCCCGCCUGGGGAGUACGCCGGCAACGGUGAAAACUCAAAGGAAUUGACGGGGGCCCGCACAAGCGGUGGAGUAUGUGGUUUAAUUCGAUGCAACGCGAAGAACCUUACCAGGGUUUGACAUCCUGCGAACCUCUUGGAAACGAGACGGGUGCCUUCGGGAGCGCAGUGACAGGUGGUGCAUGGCU